GAGUUUGAUCCUGGCUCAGGACGAACGCUGGCGGCGUGCCUAAUACAUGCAAGUCGAACGAACUCUGGUAUUGAUUGGUGCUUGCAUCAUGAUUUACAUUUGAGUGAGUGGCGAACUGGUGAGUAACACGUGGGAAACCUGCCCAGAAGCGGGGGAUAACACCUGGAAACAGAUGCUAAUACCGCAUAACAACUUGGACCGCAUGGUCCGAGUUUGAAAGAUGGCUUCGGCUAUCACUUUUGGAUGGUCCCGCGGCGUAUUAGCUAGAUGGUGGGGUAACGGCUCACCAUGGCAAUGAUACGUAGCCGACCUGAGAGGGUAAUCGGCCACAUUGGGACUGAGACACGGCCCAAACUCCUACGGGAGGCAGCAGUAGGGAAUCUUCCACAAUGGACGAAAGUCUGAUGGAGCAACGCCGCGUGAGUGAAGAAGGGUUUCGGCUCGUAAAACUCUGUUGUUAAAGAAGAACAUAUCUGAGAGUAACUGUUCAGGUAUUGACGGUAUUUAACCAGAAAGCCACGGCUAACUACGUGCCAGCAGCCGCGGUAAUACGUAGGUGGCAAGCGUUGUCCGGAUUUAUUGGGCGUAAAGCGAGCGCAGGCGGUUUUUUAAGUCUGAUGUGAAAGCCUUCGGCUCAACCGAAGAAGUGCAUCGGAAACUGGGAAACUUGAGUGCAGAAGAGGACAGUGGAACUCCAUGUGUAGCGGUGAAAUGCGUAGAUAUAUGGAAGAACACCAGUGGCGAAGGCGGCUGUCUGGUCUGUAACUGACGCUGAGGCUCGAAAGUAUGGGUAGCAAACAGGAUUAGAUACCCUGGUAGUCCAUACCGUAAACGAUGAAUGCUAAGUGUUGGAGGGUUUCCGCCCUUCAGUGCUGCAGCUAACGCAUUAAGCAUUCCGCCUGGGGAGUACGGCCGCAAGGCUGAAACUCAAAGGAAUUGACGGGGGCCCGCACAAGCGGUGGAGCAUGUGGUUUAAUUCGAAGCUACGCGAAGAACCUUACCAGGUCUUGACAUACUAUGCAAAUCUAAGAGAUUAGACGUUCCCUUCGGGGACAUGGAUACAGGUGGUGCAUGGUUGUCGUCAGCUCGUGUCGUGAGAUGUUGGGUUAAGUCCCGCAACGAGCGCAACCCUUAUUAUCAGUUGCCAGCAUUAAGUUGGGCACUCUGGUGAGACUGCCGGUGACAAACCGGAGGGAGGUGGGGAUGACGUCAAAUCAUCAUGCCCCUUAUGACCUGGGCUACACACGUGCUACAAUGGAUGGUACAACGAGUUGCGAACUCGCGAGAGUAAGCUAAUCUCUUAAAGCCAUUCUCAGUUCGGAUUGUAGGCUGCAACUCGCCUACAUGAAGUCGGAAUCGCUAGUAAUCGCGGAUCAGCAUGCCGCGGUGAAUACGUUCCCGGGCCUUGUACACACCGCCCGUCACACCAUGAGAGUUUGUAACACCCAAAGUCGGUGGGGUAACCUUUUAGGAACCAGCCGCCUAAGGUGGGACAGAUGAUUAGGGUGAAGUCGUAACAAGGUAGCCGUAG
rnacentral:rRNA from 1 species